rnacentral:rRNA from 1 species
UACGUAGGGGGCAAGCGUUGUCCGGAUUUAUUGGGCGUAAAGAGCUCGUAGGUGGUUUGUCGCGUUGUUCGUGAAAACUCACAGCUUAACUGUGGGCGUGCGGGCGAUACGGGCAGACUAGAGUACUGCAGGGGAGACUGGAAUUCCUGGUGUAGCGGUGGAAUGCGCAGAUAUCAGGAGGAACACCGGUGGCGAAGGCGGGUCUCUGGGCAGUAACUGACGCUGAGGAGCGAAAGCGUGGGGAGCGAACAGG